CCAAGCAAACUUCAUUUCCCAUGAUGCCGUGCGACCACAAGACACACGUGCAGCUCUGAAAGCAGCAUCGUGGUGAUGUUUGUGCAAUUGCAGUAUCCAAAGGUUUAUUUUACUCCUGGAAUCCCAGAAGUGCAUAUCCAUCAAGAUUGACACCCUACUCCAGGUCCUGUCCAAGAAAUCUGAAUUCCUGAUCUGUCAACUAAAAGAAAAUGCGCAUCAGAUGAUGGAAGCUGAGGAGACGGCACUUCUAAGAAAGCCUUUUUUUGGGCAGAUUUCCUCUCAUGACACAGGAUGGAUCGCGGCACAUUUAGCCAAUCCGAAGUCACUUUCACACAUGAGGCGGUCUGCACCUGGGUUCAUCUCAAAAUGAAUCCAAGGCCACCAGUUUUGGAAACAGAUGUCCGAGAACUGUUCAGUUUGAUUUGCAAUUUGACUUAGUGAAACAAUUUAAUGACUACAGUGAUUUGAAUGGAACACGUAGACAUAAUUGUGUCUUCAGUCUUAAAUAAGGGUACUCAAAACUAUAUUACUACAGCUUGGUGCAAUUCAUUAACGUAAGAGUUCCCUUGGUAAAUCUCAAUUGAAUCAUCAGUGAAAGCAACUGAUGAUUCAAUUUAAAUCGAGUCAACAUCAGACUCGAGUCACGUAGCAGAUAGACUACCCAGAAUGGCUUACUUAAUACUUGACUUGGGUUGAAACAUACACACACACACACACACACACACACACACACACACACACACACACACACACACACAGCCAGAAAGAGCCACUAAUUGUGAUACACACUCUCUUGGCAUGAAGCUUUCAAUCUAUGAAUGAUAUCUGAUUUGCAAUAGAGUGCAAAAUUACACGUCCCUAAUGCAAGAAGUUACAGCAUACAGUAAGUGCACUUACACACACACACACACACACACACACACACACACACACACACACACACACACACACACACACACACACACACACACUUCAUUUUAAGACAAGCCAAGCAAUUGAUGUGUUAUGGCAGAGAAUGACAGAACAGAAAACAAUAAGCUCUUGGCUCACAGUCUUCAUAGACUCCUUUCUGAAUGCCACAAGCCGAGACAGUUAUAUAAGCGGUGUAUUUCAUUAUGAACUUGUCCCCCAUCUGAUGACCUUUCUGAGGCCAUUCUCAUAUAUUCAUGCCACAUACACACAGUAAUCUUCCUCUCUAAAUUAACCUUUAUGAGAGCACGCCGUGCUUGUUCCAGAAACUAAAGUGCAGUUAAAUGAAUUCGAUAAACUUAAUUACAAGUUGUUGAAUCUGAUUAGAGUUUUUUUUUUUUUGGUGUCUGCCAUUGUUUAGCAAUGAACUUUAUAUAGGAAAAUGAAAGGAAAGAAAAUUAUGAAAUUAAAAUUUGUUGACAUGAACUAUUUAUGUUUGUCAGGUCACUGCUAGACUUCCAGAUAUCACAUCAGACAUCGCUGCCUUCAAACACGGCAACCCAAGACACCAACUUCCAAGACACACUUGCACGUUUAGAUUCUCUUUUGUAUUGAUUAGUCACACCUGAUCACCUCAUUCUGAUUAAUUCAACUGCACACUCACAGUCACGGUUUAAAACAACUAAACUCAACACACGACAAAAUCUAAUUCAUUCAACACACUAUAAAUUAAUUCGUUUACUAGCUGUAGUCUCUGCUGUUUACCAAGCCUUUGGUUUUGUGUUUUGGUUUACUGGACUGAUAUAGUUUCAUUUUUUUUUUUUAUGAUCACGUUCCUAUUUUGCCUUGUUUGUUUGCUGAUUGCUCCAACCUUUUUAUUUUUUAUUUUAUGUUUAAGAAUUUGGAUUAUAAUUUGUAUGACUAUGUUGCACAUUAAUAAACUUUCUUAUACUU